rnacentral:lncRNA from 1 species
CAGCAUGCAGUGCCAUCAAGCUUCAGUAGAAUGCCGAGCACACAAGUGGGACUGAGAAUUAUAACCCUGAAGUCUAAGCAGGGGACCCCUCAGGAAUCUGGAACAAGGACCCCACAGCAUGAGCAAGUGCCAUGGUCUCUGCAAGGAAAGUCACCUGCAGUGGCAGAAGCAGCAGUGCUGAUGGCUGAUUGGACUCUUAGUUCUCCCUCUAAACGUGGAACUUGAGCUGCUAUUGCAACACUAAAAGUGAGGGUGAUUCAGAAUUCAGACCUCAUCCUUCGCACGCUCUCCUUGGCAGAACUCAUCACCCCCAUGACUUCUACUGGCACAUUUACGAUGUUGACUUCCAAUGUGCCCUUCAGUCCUUACCUCUCUCCUGAGUAUCACUUCACCCAUGCUUGAAAUUUCCAUCUAGAUAUCCCGUGACUUUUAAACACAAGAACUCUGAAAGACACAACUCCACAAAGAAAAGCUGAACUAGUAAUCAAAAGAAUCUAGUCCUGGUCAGAGCUCUAAGGUAUGGCUCACUGGGGGACUUUCAGAGAGAAAUUCAUCGCUGGAGAAUGAGGAGACUGGAGUAUAUUUAUGGAUCUCAGAUUUCUAGAUAGAAUCACCAGUGUUCUAUGAAAGACCAUUGGGGCUGUUGGUGGAGAAAAGAUAGUGGGCCUCAAAGGAUAAUGUUCCGAUGCUGCCACAGCCACUUAUACUAGAGCAACUCUGGGUUCAUCAGUCAUAUUUAUUUGACUUCCUUCUAAGAUUUAUGUGAACAAAUGCAAGUGUUUUUGAAAUGCAGUGUGUGUGUAAUGCUCACGACUUUGAAAUGCAAAUUUUCUUGAAAUGUUCUGCCUUUGAAACAUGUAUGUUCCUCUCAAGAGCACGUAUCUCUGACAUCAAGACAUGUAUUUGAAAUACAGUUUACAAAUUGUAAAGUAUUGAAAUAAUUUCUUUUUAAAGUUGCUUGUCUGUUAAAUACACCUAUCUUGAAAUACACCAUUGUGUCUUUGAAAUGCAUCUGUCUCAGAAACACAAAAUGCAAUUUUUUUCAAAGCCUGAUUCUUAAAACUGCAUUUGUGUUUAAAAUAGUCCCUCUUGAAGUGCACAAAUGUUAGAACUUUAAGCGACACUGAUAUGCAAGUAUCUUUGAAAAGUGCAUUUAUUUUUGAAAUACUCCUAUGUAGUAAAAUCUUCCCCUUUUGUUUUAACUUCUAGCCCCAGACAACUCAUGCUAGAACUGUUAAAUGACUACUUGUGAUCGCCUUGUCUUCCUUCACUCCUUCUUAAUAAGUUCUAUAUACUUGAAUCAUAUUCAUUCUCCUGGUCAUCACAUUCAUGAUCUGACUCCAUUUUGAAAAACCUCAUCA